rnacentral:lncRNA from 1 species
GUCAAGAAACCUCAAUUCAAAUCCUGCCAUAAACACUUGCCAGCUGUGUGAUAAUGGCUUUGGCUAUAAUAUCUCUAGGAGAAGUUACAGGAGCCAUUUGUAUGGGAGCUGCUUUGAAGAAAGAAGACUGAGGAUAAUGGGCAGACAACUUCUUCCCAAGACUGGGGCUCAAAGUCCUAGUCUAUCUCCACUGGGGUUCAAGAGGGAAUGAUAGACAAGCUACUGCAGAAUGUAAUUAGCCAAGACAACAACCCUUCCUUGCUACCACCAUCUCAUAGUGACCAACAGAACUCUUCCUACAUCUUCCGGGUGCUCUUUCCAUGCAGUAGAGAACUGUGGCAACAAUGUUCCAGGGAGGUUGGGCAGCCUGGAGGGGUGUAUGGGGGAACAGGCAGGGAAGCUGCAGUUAGUUGAUGUCAAUAGUCCUGACCAUCUUCCCGACCGAGAGGCUUCCUGGAGAGAGCGGAUUAAAAAGACAAAUGACUGAGCUCUUAAGAUUGAUGCACGUUUGAUGUUGGCCCCUUCUUCUCUACCUACAGUCGGAGGUAUUUUGGGUAUUUUUAACCCCAGAGGAAGUCUGGUGAAGUCUGUGGAAUCCUUCUCCAAAUAAUACAGUUUUAAAUGUACAGAAUAAAAUAUUGAAAGAAACCA